UGGCUGCAGCAAGGAAUAUUGGGCAAUGGGCGAAAGCCUGACCCAGCGACGCCGCGUGGGGGAAGAAGGCCCUCGGGUCGUAAACCCCUUUUCCCAGGGAAGAAUAAUGACGGUACCUGGGGAAUAAGCAUCGGCUAACUACGUGCCAGCAGCCGCGGUAAUACGUAGGAUGCAAGCGUUAUCCGGAUUUACUGGGCGUAAAGAGGGCGUAGGCGGUUCUUCAAGUCGGUUGUGAAAUCUCUCGGCUUAACCGGGAGAGGUCAGUCGAUACUGUUGGGCUAGAGUGCAGCAGAGGGAGGUUGAAUUCCCGGUGUAGUGGUGAUAUGCGUAGAUAUCGGGAGGAAGACCAGUGGCGAAAGCGGCCUCCUGGGCUGUUACUGACGCUGAGGCCCGAAGGCGUGGGGAGCAAACAGGAUUAGAUACCCUUGUAGUC
rnacentral:rRNA from 1 species